rnacentral:rRNA from 1 species
UAGUCCACGCCGUAAACGAUGAUAACUAGCUGCUGGGGCUCAUGGAGUUUCGGUGGCGCAGCUAACGCAUAAGUUAAUCCGCCUGGGGAGUACGUUCGCAAGAUUAAAACUCAAAGGAAUUGACGGGGGCCUGCACAAGCGGUGGAGCAUGUGUUUAAUUCGAAGCAACGCGCAGAACCUUACCAACGUUGNACAUCCUCAUCGCGAUUUCCAGAGAUGGAUUUCUUCAGUUCGGCUGGAUGAGUGACAGGUGCUGCAUGGCUGUCGUCAGCUCGUGUCGUGAGAUGUUGGGUUAAGUCCCGCAACGAGCGCAACCCUCGCCUUUAGUUGCCAUCAUUUAGUUGGGUACUCUAAAGGAACCGCCGGUGAUAAGCCGGAGGAAGGUGGGGAUGACGUCAAGUCCUCAUGGCCCUUACGCGUUGGGCUACACACGUGCUACAAUGGCGACUACAGUGGGCAGCGACCAUGCGAGUGGAAGCUAAUCUCCAAAAGUCGUCUCAGUUCGGAUUGUUCUCUGCAACUCGAGAGCAUGAAGGCGGAAUCGCUAGUAAUCGCGGAUCAGCAUGCCGCGGUGAAUACGUUCCCAGGCCUUGUACACACCGCCCGUCACACCAUGGGAGUUGGUUUCACCCGAAGGCAGUGCGCUAACCGCAAGGAGGCAGCUGACCACGGUGGGAUCAGCGACUGGGGUGAAGUCGUAACAAGGUAGCCGUAGGGGAACCUGCGGCUGGAUCACCUCCUUAAGCUUGGAUUCCCGGGC